GCCUCCUCGCGUGGUCGACGCCGACAUCUCCUGGUCAGCAGCCGUGAGGAGCAGCAGCCCUCGCUAGGGGGCCGGCGACUACCGCGGGGGAGAGCUGACGGCGUAGGAGGCCCCAGUUCGUCAAGGAGGGCGCCGACUAGCAGCAGGGCAACUGCUUCCCCUCUUCUUCCUUUUCCUUGCAAUGGAGGACGUUGUGAAUUUCGUUCGGCCAUCGUCGUUCUUGGCCAAAGAAAUAUGCUACAGACGGUGGUGCAGUGCCCAAUUCGUCUAGGAGGGCACCCACGACCUGCCCAGGUGCCUACCCUCCUUCUCCUUUUUUUCCCUGUAGAGGGAACCAUCCAAGUACAUAGCCAAUUAUCUUAUCCUGAGACCAACUGCAUGGUGGAGUAACUACUCUUCAGUAACAAGAUUGAUUCAAUUUCCGGCAUAUUGAAACUUCAGACUUUCUUGCUCUAUUAUGUGCCUGUUCUUGCAGGAUAAGGAGUUACGACAAGGUGGAGAUAGUGAAUCGGCAAGAUGCAAUGCUUAUUCAUUUAUUUUCUGGUCCCAUAAAAAGUAGGGUUCCUGUGGAAAAUUCCAGUCCCCCAUUUGCUGGCCUCUUGGGCUCAUCUUGUACUUUUCUGGCAUAUGAUAAACUAGAAAAGCUGAUCUCAUGUGGAUUUUAUGGUAAAUCAUACAAUAAAUUUAUGUUAUCUCGGAGGUACUAACUUCUACAGUAUAGUAGCAAGUCGAGCUAGAAGGUGAAGCAGCACAAAGCAAUGUUAGGAGAUGGGUUAAUGAAUAUUAUUUCUGUGGUCACCAACGGCCGGCCUGCUCUCUUAAGUGGGAGGGGAAUAUGUUUGAUGGAGAUGGAUAGGCAUUGUGCGGUAUAAUGGAAGGAGGCGCAGAUGUGGACACCCGAGUCAUUCACGGUGUCGACACGGUCAUCCUCGCCCUUGGCGAGCACGAGGCGUUGCUAAACCACCCUGAGACACCCAUGACCGAAAGUGUCUUCUCCCAGCCGGUCAGGAGGAAAGGCGCAGGACGCUGCCGGAGCUGACCUCACACCCAGGUCUUUGCGGGGUUGGACCUCUCGCAGGUGCCUAGACUCCCCUCUUCCUCCCUUGCUUUCACUCCUCUUUUUUAAUUCCUAGAACAUAUCAUCUUUGUGUGUGCAGAUACUUUUUUUAUCUGUUCGUUUUCCUCAUUUUUUUGCAACUGAAUUAUAUUAAUAUUUGAUGGAUUUAUAUUGAGAAAUUUAAGCAUUUGUAGAUCCAUGAACACGCCCUCCUAAUUUUCACUGACGGGUUAUUGCAACAAGGUAAGAUAUGAUAUUCAUUAUAUAUUCAUGUUCUGCUUCUCAAAACUUAUUAUGGCAUCUAUACGUGAUAAUUAAGGCUUAUUCCUAUUUUAUAAGAUUUCUCUUAUUCUUAUCCAUAUGGAAUGGUUGGGUUCCAAGUGUCUCCACACUUGCAUUUUUUGCGCUUCGGCUAGCUAACUUGAUCUUCCUUUUGUCCUACCUGACCCCAUGUCGUAACUUGGCAAAGAGAAGCUCUCUCUGUGUGAAUUAUUUGCCUAUUUGACUAGCCUACCAAUUCUGGGAUAUUGUUUGGACUUGGGACAUUGGGAAGGAGCAUGUCAAUUUGUUCGAUGAACAAUUAAGUAAGUUGCAAGACAUUUGACAGCUUGAUCAGAAGGAACUGGACAGAUAAAUCUUGAGUGUAUGCCCAUUUCUUUUGUGUAUUUUAAUUUAUUCUGUAUUUGGUUCAGUUACUGCAUCCAGUAGCGGACUGCAAUUUAACCUGAGCGUUACACCAUUCUCGCAUAAAAAAAUCAAUUCCAGGUACAGUAACAUGAGAAGAUAUGCAAAUUUUUCAAAUGCAGUUCGGAGAACGCCACCUAUUCUCACAAAACUUACUACGUCCUGGGCUUGGAGCAUUUGCUCCCGCUGGUCACAACCUGUUCAAUGAGCAGUUGGAUCUCCAAUAAUAGGUCAGCCUCUCUCUGGUCCAUGUCAUCAAGCAGGCUUAUAAUUAGAUAAAUUAGCCAAUAUUAGGUAAUUUGUGGUGCAUAUUCAGUGUGCUUCCCUAUUAAAUAGUUGCAACUGAAAAUAAAAGCAUAAAUGGUUUAGGGAGUUGAAGACUUACAAACCUGGCUCUGUCUUCAAUGUGGUUCCUAUGGUUUUGGGGACUUUGUACCACAAAUAUUGCAGGGUGUUUCGCGUAUUAGCAAGUUUGGCCGUAGUUUGCAGUUUUAAGAGUUCCAAUUCGCGAGCGUGCUAAUGGAUACCUUUUUUCAGUUUCUUAUUCAUGUGUACACUGAUAUAUUAUUGGGUGUGUUCUCAUUUAGCGAACUUGAUUGUAGUAUGUAGCUUAUAGAUAAUUAACUCUAUGCAGAAAUUUCUGACAAUCAAAUUAUAUUAACCAACUAAUUGCUAAAUUAAGUGCUACCGCCAUAAUAGUUUACUUUGUAUUCAAAUAGGAGGAUUUGGAGAGAUUUCAGAGAUAGUUAGUUGCUGAAGGAACAACUCAGGAAAAUAUAUAACAUUUCCUUAGCUUAUAAGUUUAGAUGGGAGGCAGGCCAAGCUUCAGAAACUCUCAUUUAGUUAGGUAUAGCCUAGCUGAUAGCUUGAAAUGGGAGCACCUUUCCUUGGACAACUUUUGGGUGGUAACGAAAUUACACAUCUGUCAAUAUAUUCAGAAUUAGGAUGUUUAAACAGUCAAUAGCUGAGAGGUAAGGGAAGGAACAUAUAGUACACAACUGUCUUUCCUUAACAUUAUGGGUGUUCAAAUCAUCGAUUAUGUAGAGUUGACAAAUCUGUAGUACACUAAGCUUUUUUUUAUUCAGCUGCAUCUGUUUAAUUUAUCCUCUAAGUGGAUAUUAAAUACAACCAAUUCUAGCUAUCUGAAUUUGGAGGAAUUUUAUCUGGUUGGUAUAGGUUCUUGUUUUAGUAAGAUUUCAAAGUUCCUUCAACAGUACAUACUUGGACAUACUCACUCUGGAUGCUGCUUUGUUACUUUGUUUUGCUCAGUGUAGCCUCACUGAUGCCUAAAUAUUUUAGUAACAGUAUUUACAUUGUGUGUCUCAUACCGUCUUGUAAAAGGACUUCACAUUAUGAAAUAGCCAAUAGUUAUAUAACUUUGUAAGAGAAUUCAUUAUGUUUAGUUGUUGGAUAUAAUUUUUUCAUAUGGUAUUUUAUCUAUAAAUGUCUACUGUGCUUCCAAUACCUGGCAUCCACUAUUCUGUCUCCCUGUGUUAGGUAAUAUCAUCAUCACUGUUAGCAAUGGCAACUCUUACCAACAUUUUACUACGAGUAGAAUUACAAAGUGAUGGUGGUGACAGUGCGAAUACCGAAAGCAAGAGCCAUUUAAAAGUUCGAUCUGCCGCAUUGUCAUCUGCUAAAGCUGCACUUUCCAUGCAUAAAUAUUUCAUUGAUUUUCUAAGGUCUAAAAAACCUUUUAUACGGUCGGCUAGAUACUCUCCUUACAAGUUAUGUCAAAUAUGUUCCUCAUGUUUUCAACGAAGAAGCCAUGAAGAUUGGUGCCUUCAGUGAAAGGGACCCAUUGUGUCACUCUGCUAUGUUGAUGUAGUUCUUGUUUUUUUCUAAAACAUUUCAAUAGGAUUGGUGCUAUUGCAAUGUCGACAAGGUUGUCCUCAAUCGGGUUUGUCCGUUCCUACAAAAUGAAAGAUACGGGUCUAAACAUGCCUCAUACCCUCUAAUUGUUUAGUUUUGGAUUCUAUACCACCUAAAGAAGUUGCUGCAGAGCAAUUUUUUCAAGUUCAUAAAAAAACUCUGGCUGGUAGAAACCAGAGGCAGUUAUCAGCUGCUAAUGGUUUGGCUUUCUUUACUGCCUUCAAACAGAGUUUUUUUGUGGCUUCUUAAAAAUGUGCCAAGGUAUCUUUUUCAAAUUUUCACUGUUUUAUUAAGUUUGAUUUCAUUUUGUUAAAGUUCUCCAGUUUCUUAGUAGUAACCCUUCUUUUCGGAAAUUAUGUAGUAGAUUCUUCAGACUAUAUUGGCAAGUCUUAUAACCUUUAAUUAUCAUUAUAAGAAAACCUAGAUGUACUUCCCAGUUUGUUGUCUGAAGAUGAAGAAGCAGCUACUGACACCAGCUAUCUCAUAAAAAGGCAUUUUUGGCGACGAAUGUGGGCCACCUAUUUACUAUUAUAAGGAUUUGGGAAAAUGUAUCAAUGAAAUUUUAUCUGCUACUGUUUACUAUUAUCAGAUUCUGGGGAAAUGACUAUUUACUAUUAUGAAGAAGAAGCUACUGAUGAUCACGAUCUAUCUCAUAAAAAUUCAUUGUUGGUGGUGAAUGUGCGCCACCCUGUUUAGCAUUGUCAAGAUUCUCAUGUACAACUUCUAUGGGUUUGCAGAACGAAUAUAGAUGAGUAAUUGGCAUGUGUUAUGGAUCUUGAAUCAUUGUAUACUACUGCCUACUAAUGUGUGUCUUUGUUUGCUAUAAUAUCAUUUCCUUUUACUGUAACUAAAAGGGAAUUGAUACGUGUUUUUGAUGUUUUGUCUCGGAUUAUAAUUGAGUAGCUUCAGACGGAAUGUUGUGUGCUUUUCACCGAGUUGCUUUAUUAAUGCAGUUACAUGUACAA